GUCCUCAGAUAGCUGUGAGACUCCUGGUUCACAAAAUCCAUUCUCAAGAAUGGGAAGCCCUUCAAGCUCUGACGGUACUAGAGGUGUGUAUGAAGAACUGUGGGCGAAGAUUUCACAACGAAAUAGCCAGAUAUAGUUUUUUAAAUGAGCUGAUUAAAGUGGUUUCACCCAAGUAUAUGGGGGACAGUGUUUCUGACAAGGUGAAGAAUAAG